rnacentral:rRNA from 1 species
AGUGAACGCUGGCGGUAGGCCUAACACAUGCAAGUCGAACGGCAGCACAGUAAGAGCUUGCUCUUACGGGUGGCGAGUGGCGGACGGGUGAGGAAUACAUCGGAAUCUACUUUUUCGUGGGGGAUAACGUAGGGAAACUUACGCUAAUACCGCAUACGACCUACGGGUGAAAGCAGGGGAUCUUCGGACCUUGCGCGAUUGAAUGAGCCGAUGUCGGAUUAGCUAGUUGGCGGGGUAAAGGCCCACCAAGGCGACGAUCCGUAGCUGGUCUGAGAGGAUGACCAGCCACACUGGAACUGAGACACGGCCCAGACUCCUACGGGAGGCAGCAGUGGGGAAUAUUGGACAGUGGGCGCAAGCCUGAUCCAGCCAUACCGCGUGGGUGAAGAAGGGCUGCGGGUGGUAAAGCCCUUUUGUUGGGAAAGAAAAGCAGCAGGUUAAUACCCCGCUGUUCUGACGGUACCCAAAGAAUAAGCACCGGCUAACUUCGU